UGGGAUAUCGCCAAGCGGUAAGGCACUGGGUUUUGAUCUCAGCAUUCCAAGGUUCGAAUCCUUGUAUCCCAG
rfam:Shewanella frigidimarina NCIMB 400, complete genome.